rnacentral:rRNA from 1 species
AUGGACAGGACAAACGUCGCGGCCGCUGCCCCGCCGCCCGUACCCAUGGCGGCGCCCGUCGUCCCGGUCGAUCUGACGGUCGUCAAGAAGCUCCUCGGAGGCGGCGGCGACCUGGCGGUCCACGACGCGUCUGGCGGUCUCGCCUUUCGCGUCACGGCGGCGGACGGUUGUGGCAGGAGGUGCGGAGGGAGGGCGCUCCUCGACGCCUCCGGGAGCACUCUGGUCACUGCCAGGACCAGCGAGGGUGCGUGGCAGGCAUUCAGAGGAAUUAGUUGGGAACAGAAAGACAUAAUUUUUUCAACAAAGGUAAUGUGUGCUUCUUCAGAUCGAAAGGAGGUACAUGUCUUUGUCCCGCCGAGAAGCACAUCUGAGGAGCAAAAACCAAGCUACAUACUCGUAGGAAAUCCAUCUCGAAGAGCAUGCACGAUUAUAAGGGGAAACUCCAUUGUUGCUCAGACAAAUCUCCCGUACAAACUCAAUAAGGCCGUCUAUUCAAGGCGGAAGUUUAGGGUGACGAUUUACCCAGGAAACGAUAACAUUCUGAUCAUGGCAAUGGUUAUGACCUUCCUUGUUCAAAAAUAA